UACUCCUACGGGAGGCAGCAGUGGGGAAUCUUGCGCAAUGGGCGAAAGCCUGACGCAGCAACGCCGCGUGUGUGAUGAAGGUCUUCGGAUCGUAAAGCACUGUCGCGAGGGAAGAUACGCUUCGGGCCAAUACUCCGGAGCUGAGACGGUACCUCGAGAGGAAGCACCGGCUAACUCUGUGCCAGCAGCCGCGGUAAU
rnacentral:rRNA from 1 species